AGGACGAACGCUGGCGGUGUGCUUCACACAUGCAAGUCGAACGGGGUAGCAAUACCCAGUGGCGGACGGGUGAGUAACGCGUAGAAAUCUGCCUUGAGAUGGGGGAUAACAGUCCGAAAGGAUUGCUAAUACCGCAUAUGUAUGUAUCCGGACACGGGUGUAUAUGAAAGGAGUAAUCCGUCUUAAGAUGAGUCUGCGUCCGAUUAGCUAGUUGGUAGGGUAAAGGCCUACCAAGGCGACGAUCGGUAGCUGGUCUGAGAGGAUGAUCAGCCACAAUGGGACUGAGACACGGCCCAUACUCCUACGGGAGGCAGCAGUGGGGAAUUUUUGUGCAAUGGGGGAAACCCUGACACAGCGACACCGCGUGAGCGAAGAAGCCCUUUGGGGUGUAAGCUCUGUCGGCUGGAACGAAAAAAAUGACGGUACCAGCAAAGGAAGCAUCGGCUAACUACGUGCCAGCAGCCGC
rnacentral:rRNA from 1 species